rnacentral:rRNA from 1 species
UACGUAGGGUGCGAGCGUUACUCGGAAUUACUGGGCGUAAAGCGUGCGCAGGCGGCCGCGCAAGUCAGGUGUGAAAUCCCCGGGCUUAACCUGGGAAUUGCGCUUGAAACUAUGCGGCUUGAGUGUGGCAGAGGGGGGUGGAAUUCCACGUGUAGCAGUGAAAUGCGUAGAGAUGUGGAGGAACACCGAUGGCGAAGGCAGCCCCCUGGGCCAACACUGACGCUCAGGCACGAAAGCGUGGGGAGCAAACAGG